AAGGGCACCACAAGAACGCGUGGAGCAUGUGGCUUAAUUUGACUCAACGCGGGAAAUCUUACCGGGUCCGGACACACUGAGGAUUGACAGGCAAUAUUAAUACGUUUUGCUUCGGUAAACGCGUAUUAUGUUAAAUAUGCUAGUUCUUUCAUGAUUAUGUGAUAGGUGGUGCAUGGCCGUUCUUAGUUCGUGGAGUGAUCUGUCUGCUUAAUUGCGUUUCACUAAGGGCCUAUAAAUUUACGUGUGUUGCAUCGACUUUGACCCCUUUCUUUAAUUAGAGAGCGCGUGUCUUAGUUUUCGCUUUGCUCACACAAUUAGGUCCUGAAAGCAACGAACGUGACCGCAACCUCUUGUUGACUUUAUACCAAACAUGUUUUGCGUCAAUUUUUACGAAUUGCGCGCAUUUCAUGAAAAAAGGCUUUUUAAACUAGAGGGACCGCUGUUACUUUCUUAAACCAGAGGAAGGUUGCGGCAAUAACAGGUCUGUGAUGCCCUUAGAUGUUCCGGGCUGCACACGUGCUACAAUGAUUAUUGCAGUGAGCAUCUCAUUUUUACACACCGCAUGCGCGAGUCCAUUUAUUCACCUUCGGGUGUUUUAAAUGUGUAUCUCUGCGCGCGGUAAAGCCUGCUUCGACAGUAAGUGGGUAAUCAAUUAGAAGUAAUGAUUUCCUUUUUUUUAGCACACAUAUAUACGGCGUCUAUGCCCGGGUUACCUUGUUGUAGCUUUUGUGCGUAUAGAUGUUUUUUCCGUAUGUGCGAUUGUCAAUUCAUGGUGGGGACAGACCAUUGUUAAUUGUUGGUCUCGGUCUUAACUAGGAAUGCCUUGUACGGGUCUUUGGUUCAACAAACCACCCGGAAUACGUUCCUGCCCUUUGUACACACCGCCCGUCGCUCUUACCGAUGGACUUCUCUGUGAGUUUGAGGGACUGGGAACGCAGGAAUUUAUUUCUGCACACCUAUGGAAACUUAAACGAACAGUGUGGUCUAAAGGAAAGAGAAGUCGAACAAGGCA
rnacentral:rRNA from 1 species